AAUUUCUAACAAAGAAGAAAUUAGGUAGCUCUUAUUCACUAUAGAUGUAGAAUAUUUCAACAUUAAGUGUCCUGUUGAAAGUUUUUACUUACCUGCCAAUCCCAUUUAAAUGGGUUUGCAUACAAUUAUGUGACCUAAAACCACCAACCUUUAUUUUAAAAUUGAUCUUACCUGAACCUCUGUCUUCAACCAACUGAAGCAACUUGGGAUUAAUUGCUUGAUUAGCUUCACGAAGCACAGAGAUAAGGUCGCUCACUUGCUUUAUGUUAUUAGGUGUAAAGAAAGUGUAUGCUGUGCCUGUUUUGGUACUGCGAGCAGUUCUUCCAAUUCGAUGAAUAUAAUCCUCUGAGGAGUUAGGGUAGUCAUAAUUGAUGACAAAUUUCACAUCUUCCACAUCUGUAAGGUGUUGCAGUGUGGCAAAAUAGCAAUGUACAGAGUUUUGCACACCACAACAGCCAGACCAAAAAUAAAAAGUUAGACAAUUGUAUUCCCAAGAAGGUACGGGCUGCAAAAAAUACAGUUAAAAUGGUUAUCGAUUCCCUGCAGGAAUACCAUUGAGGUUUAAAAACAAAAAUUAAAAAAAAAAAAAAAAAGCACACGUAAUCUGUGUCUUCUUUACCCACCCAAUGAUAGAACCUGUCAAAAGGAUGUGUAUUCCCUAAAACAUUCCCAUAUCAGCAAGUCCCCUUAUAGAUCAUCAAGUGACAUCUGAAUGCUUCUGUGCAGUAGGGCCACUUAAAGGUUCACAGCAACCUCUUCAUGUGCUUAUUUUGAG